ACUGUCCCUAGAGACAUUGCAGUUAUGGCUGCUGUGUCACAUGUGCAUCAGAAGAUGGCAGAGAGAGGCUAUUUCUACUCUCUGUGUUCUGACCUUCGAAUAUCUGAAUGAUUAGUAGCUUAACGGU